rnacentral:rRNA from 1 species
UACGGAGGGUGCAAGCGUUAUCCGGAUUCACUGGGUUUAAAGGGUGUGUAGGCGGGCAAUUAAGUCAGUGGUGAAAUCUCCAGGCUCAACCUGGAAUGCCGGUGGAAACUGUCAGGCUCGAGUCCGGAAGAGGCGAGUGGAAUUCCUGGUGUAGCGGUGAAAUGCGCAGAUAUCAGGAGGAACACCAAUGGCGAAGGCAGCUCGCUGGGACGUGACUGACGCUGAGACGCGAAAGCGUGGGGAGCAAACAGG